rnacentral:rRNA from 1 species
AGUCUGCAACCCGACUACAUGAAGCUGGAAUCGCUAGUAAUCGCGGAUCAGAAUGCCGCGGUGAAUACGUUCCCGGGUCUUGUACACACCGCCCGUCACACCAUGGGAGUCGGAAAUGCCCGAAGUCUGUGACCCAACCUGCAAGGGAGGGAGCAGCCGAAGGCAGGUCGGAUGACUGGGGUGAAGUCGUAACAAGGUACC